ACUUUAGUUAAACUUUAAUAAUGAACUACCUAAGAGAUUCACAAUCAACAACAAUUAUAUAUAUAAAUACUUACUAUACAUACAAUAAGUAAUAUAUUCUUGAUUAGUUACUGACAACAUAUUUAAAAUAAAACUACGGAUAUAUACCACGAUAAAAAGGGCGGAAUCGUACUU